UACGAAGGGGGCUAGCGUUGUUCGGAAUUACUGGGCGUAAAGCGUGCGUAGGCGGUUUGCCGUGUCCUGUGUGAAAGCCCCGGGCUCAACCUGGGAAUUGCAUGGGAAACUGGCAGGCUUGAGUGUGGCAGAGGAGGGUGGAAUUCCGCGUGUAGCAGUGAAAUGCGUAGAGAUGCGGAGGAACACCUGCGGCGAAGGCGGGUAGCUGGGCCAACACUGACGCUGAGACGCGAAAGCUAGGGGAGCAAACGGG
rnacentral:rRNA from 1 species